rnacentral:rRNA from 1 species
GACAGAGGAGCCAAGCGUUGUCCGGAUUGACUGGGCGUAAAGCGCACGCAGGCGGUCGUGCACGUGGGGUGUGAAAACUGGCGGCUUAACUGCCAGAGGCCACCUCAUACGGCGCGACUCGAGCCCUGCAGAGGUCCAUGGAAUUGCCGGUGUAGUGGUGAAAUGCGUAGAGAUCGGCAGGAACACCCAGGGGGAAACCAGUGGACUGGGCAGGAGCUGACGCUCAGGUGCGAAAGCGUGGGGAGCAAACAGG